rnacentral:rRNA from 1 species
UCCCUACGGGACGCAGCAGUAGGGAAUCUUCCACAAUGGGGGAAACCCUGAUGCAGCGACGCCGCGUGAGUGAGGAAGUAUUUCGGUAUGUAAAGCUCUAUCAGCAGGGAAGAAAAUGACGGUACCUGACUAAGAAGCCCCGGCUAACUACGUGCCAGCAGCCGCGGUAAUACGUAGGGGGCAAGCGUUAUCCGGAUUUACUGGGUGUAAAGGGAGCGUAGACGGAGGAGCAAGUCUGAUGUGAAAAUCCGGGGCCCAACCCCGGGACUGCAUUGGAAACUACCGAACUAGAGUGUCGGAGAGGG